UAAUGAAAUUAAUAGGCUUUAAGACUGUGCUGAGUGCUGGGGAUUUGACAGAGAACAGGAUGGACACAGUUCCUGUCAACUUACAUUUUAGAAGGGGAGACAGACUCACAGCUAAUUGCUUAAUUAGAGUAGCUAUCAGCGCUACUGGGAAAACUGAGAGUAUCCUAUGAGAGCAUAUCACAGGAGACAUGACCUAAUGGAGAGAGGAAGGCUCAGAAAUCUUCUCUAAGGAAGAGACAUUUUAUCUGAAAGCCAAAAAUGACUAUGAGUUGCUGGAUAUCCCGAGGGCAGGGAGGAGAACAAGAGAGCAUUCCAGGCAGAAGCAGCAGCUCAUGCACAGGCUUAUGGCAUAAAAGAGCAGAUGUAAUUUUUGCGGAACUGUAAGAAGCUAAGGAAGUGCAAUGAGGAAGAGGGAUGGAUCACAGGUGAUGUGGACACACGGAGGCCUUGGUACACAUUUUGGACUUUAGCCUAAGAUCAUUGGCAAACUACAGCAAGUGCAGAAUAUUGAUGGUGCUGAAUAAAAGGGGACAAUCAUAUGAAAUUUCCAGAGAAAGUUAAAAGAGCAGAGCACUGGUGAAUUUGGUCUAAAACACAUCGCAACAGGAAGGAAAUAAAGGAUUUCAGAACUGUUGUGGAAAGCGAACACGAGGAUGCCUGUUGAAGAACUGAAUAUGCUGUGAUGUGCAUCCAAGUGAUAAUGAUGGGCAAUUAUUUGCAAAAUAUUCUCCCUUAACCUCAAGGAACUUAUAGCCUAGUUGGAAGAAUCAGAAUUUAAUAGCAAUGUAAGAGUUAAAUAAUACCAGACAGAGAUUCAAAAGAUGUUGCAAGACAAAGCAUGAUUAAUUGCCAAAGAGUAGAGACCGGAGCCCAGAGAAAGAGAGCGCAGUGUGAGCUGGAAUCAUCAAGGGACAAUGGAAGGACUGCCAAACCACCAUGAGGCCUCAGCUCAGCGUUCAGACUUCGAGUCUGUAGCGCGUCAAGUCAGCACAAAAACAACAGGAGUAUCACGCUCUAAAAUCAGAUUUCUAACGUUCGAUAAACAGCCUUAAUAAACAAAAAUAUUCAUUACUCUUUCAGACUUUUGAAUAUGAGUGUUGGAAAGAGAGACAGUGUUUGGUAAAAAGAAAAGAGGCUAAUGAAUCGGAGAACUGAGUCCCAGUACCGACUGCCCCCUGUUCCUUGCGUUCCUGCCCGUUGGCUUGUUGUUAUGCCUCUCUGGGCUUUUGUCUCCUGAAGCCCAGCGAGGAAUACUUACUUCACAGGCUAUUAAGAGUUAGUGGAGUUAACCAGGCAAAGGUCUAGUUUUAUGUGGGGGUGGGUGAGAAUAUGCCAAAGAUAGGAAACAACACGCCCAAGAGCCCUAAAGAGAGAAACGGUUUUGAGCGUUGGAUGAACAAAGAGAAAGUCAGUACAUCUGCAAUUUGGUGGAUGAGUCGCUGCCUCUGGAGGGACAGGAAAGAGCCAGCGUAGGCAGGGACUUUACAGGCCACGCUGAAUGUUGUAGACUCAAUCCUAUGAACAGUUUAGAAGCCAAUGGAUUGUGUUAAAGGCACGAGGGGCUGGUGGCAGUGGGGAAGGAAGUGUUUGCAAACAUGAGGGACCGCUUAUUUUAAGG
ensembl:lncRNA